UAACUGAAGAGUUUGAUCAUGGCUCAGAUUGAACGCUGGCGGCAGGCUUAACACAUGCAAGUCGAGCGGGGGAAGGUAGCUUGCUACUGGACCUAGCGGCGGACGGGUGAGUAAUGCUU
rnacentral:rRNA from 1 species